GUCACAAGCUGAUCAUCUACAGGCCACUGAUGCAGCAUUUCUUGCUAAAUAAACAUCAACCAAGUAUUGACUAAAGGAAUGAAAAUACCGUAUUUUCCGUACUAUAAGGUGCUCCGGAGUUUAAGGUGCACCUUCAAUGAAUGGCCUAUUUUUUUCGUAUAUACAGCGCACCACAUUUUAAGGCACAGAGAAUCGAAGCUACAAUAGUCCCUACGGUUGCCUUAUCCAUCCACUAGAUGGAGCUAUGCUAAGAGUAAUACAAUACAAUACAGGUUAUAUAGAGCGUUCACAACCGCUGCAGCUGUAACAAAGCGCUUUUCAGAACACUUAAAAUACUAUAUCCAAGAAAUUAGAAUAUUGAUCCAUAUAAAAGGUGUAUCGGAUUAUAAGGCGCACUGUCUGCUUUUCAGAACAUUGUAUGCUCUUAGGUGCUCCUUAAAGUGCGGAAAAUACGGUAUUUAUCAGAAGGCGAUCACCUCUAUGUGAAAAAUUGCUUUGAUGGGUUGUUAACGAAUAUUUCUUUUGAGAUUGUGAAUUUGGGAGUUCAUUGGGCGGGAAGAUGUGAUCAUCACUAUCAUGAGAAAUAACACCAGAUUAUUUCACUCUGAAUUGCAAAUAAUGUGCAGUAUGUCAUAUGUGCAUUUCUUUUUUGGAACGCUGUCAUUUCUUGGUUACCUGCAGCUCCUUGAACCUCUUUUGAGACUGCACCGCUAUACUCUGCUCAUCUUCAAUUUUGGAUGCGAGUUGGCUUAAUUCAAAAUCUUUCCUGAAAAUGUCAAAAACAAACACACCAAAUCAGUGCCAUCAUAAUGCGAUUGCUGAGCUGUUUAAAUACUUUCAUGUCGGGGCUUACUUUUUCAGGUGCUCCUCUACUAUUUGUUUGUCGUUUUCCAAAUCCAUGAUGGCUUCUUGGGCUAGCUUAAGAUCUCCUUCAAUUUUCCUCUUUCCCCUUUCGACCUCCAUGCGGUUCUUUUUCUCUUGUUCUAGAGACCCUUCCAGCUAACCCAUUGACAGAAAUUGGAUUAAUAUUACAGGCGUUGUAAUCUGACUCGAUUUCGAUUCAAAUAAUUCAAAACCAACAUCGUCAACUUGUUGCUCCAGCUUCAUCUUAGCUUUGCUCAGAGAGUUGACUUUGUCUUCCUCCGCUUGCAGGUCUUCCAGUGUCUGCUGGUGGGCCUGCUGCAAGGCUGACUUCUCCUUGGAUAACUUGGCAAUGGUAUCGUCCAGGGAAGACAUCUCUUCUGUCAAAUUUUUAACCUGAAUUAAAACAAACACUUUGAAUAAACAUUCCUUUUUGGCUCCACACUCAGAGCAUUCGUCCUCCAGCUUCCUCUUCUUAGCGGAGCGGCUUGAUCUUGAAGUAAAGCUUCAUCCAUGGCCAGUGUUUGACAUUCAUGAAGGAGCGAAUGUUGUACUGGAUAGUGUAAACUGAUUCUCUACACAUGUAUGGAAAUCAUGCGAUGAGUCAACGGAGUUGUCAGGAUUUUGG